AACCCUCAGGCCCCCGGGCCUGGCGUUGGGGAUCGGCGGAAGCCCCCUGCGGGCACAACGCCGUCCCCCAAAUACAGUGGCGGUCCCGCCGCAGCUUCCAUUGCGUAGUAGCUAACACCUCGCAACUGGAGAGCGGCGCGGCCACGCCGUAAAACACCCAACUUCUGAAUGUUGACCUCGAAUCAGGUAGGAAUACCCGCUGAACUUAAGCAUAUCAAUAAGCGGAGGAAAAGAAACCAACAGGGAUUGCCCCAGUAACGGCGAGUGAAGCGGCAACAGCUCAAAUUUGAAAUCUGGCUCUCGGGCCCGAGUUGUAAUUUGUAGAGGAUGCUUUUGGUGAGGUGCCUUCCGAGUUCCCUGGAACGGGACGCCAUAGAGGGUGAGAGCCCCGUCUGGUUGGACACCGAUCCUCUGUAAAGCUCCUUCGACGAGUCGAGUAGUUUGGGAAUGCUGCUCUAAAUGGGAGGUAUAUGUCUUCUAAAGCUAAAUACCGGCCAGAGACCGAUAGCGCACAAGUAGAGUGAUCGAAAGAUGAAAAGAACUUUGAAAAGAGAGUUAAAAAGUACGUGAAAUUGUUGAAAGGGAAGCGCUUGUGACCAGACUUGGGCUUGGUUGAUCAUCCGGGGUUCUCCCCGGUGCACUCUUCCGGCUCAGGCCAGCAUCAGUUCGCCCUGGGGGAUAAAGGCUUCGGGAAUGUGGCUCUCUCCGGGGAGUGUUAUAGCCCGCUGCGUAAUACCCUGUGGCGGACUGAGGUUCGCGCAUUCGCAAGGAUGCUGGCGUAAUGGUCAUCAGUGACCCGUCUUGAAACACGGACCAAGGAGUCGUCUUCGUAUGCGAGUGUUCGGGUGUCAAACCCCUACGCGUAAUGAAAGUGAACGCAGGUGAGAGCUUCGGCGCAUCAUCGACCGAUCCUGAUGUUAUCGGAUGGAUUUGAGUAAGAGCAUACGGGGCCGGACCCGAAAGAAGGUGAACUAUGCCUGUGUAGGGUGAAGCCAGAGGAAACUCUGGUGGAGGCUCGCAGCGGUUCUGACGUGCAAAUCGAUCGUCAAACAUGGGCAUGGGGGCGAAAGACUAAUCGAC
rnacentral:rRNA from 1 species